rnacentral:rRNA from 1 species
AUCUCCCGCUUGCGGGGGUGAUUAGUGGCGAACGGGUGAGUAAUACGUGAGUAACCUGCCCUUGACUCUGGGAUAAGCCUGGGAAACCGGGUCUAAUACUGGAUACGACUUCUCAUCGCAUGGUGGGGGGUGGAAAGGGUUUGACUGGUUUUGGAUGGGCUCACGGCCUAUCAGCUUGUUGGUGGGGUAAUGGCUCACCAAGGCGACGACGGGUAGCCGGCCUGAGAGGGUGACCGGCCACACUGGGACUGAGACACGGCCCAGACUCCUACGGGAGGCAGCAGUGGGGAAUAUUGCACAAUGGGCGCAAGCCUGAUGCAGCGACGCCGCGUGAGGGAUGACGGCCUUCGGGUUGUAAACCUCUUUCAGCAGGGAAGAAGCCACAAGUGACGGUACCUGCAGAAGAAGCGCCGGCUAACUACGUGCCAGCAGCCGCGGUAAUACGUAGGGCGCAAGCGUUGUCCGGAAUUAUUGGGCGUAAAGAGCUCGUAGGCGGUUUGUCGCGUCUGCUGUGAAAGCCCGGGGCUCAACCCCGGGUCUGCAGUGGGUACGGGCAGACUAGAGUGCAGUAGGGGAGACUGGAAUUCCUGGUGUAGCGGUGAAAUGCGCAGAUAUCAGGAGGAACACCGAUGGCGAAGGCAGGUCUCUGGGCUGUUACUGACGCUGAGGAGCGAAAGCAUGGGGAGCGAACAGGAUUAGAUACCCUGGUAGUCCAUGCCGUAAACGUUGGGCACUAGGUGUGGGGGACAUUCCACGUUCUCCGCG